rnacentral:tRNA from 1 species
GCCGAAGUGGCGGAAUGGCAGACGCAGAGGACUUAAAAUCCUCCGGCCUCUGGCUGUGCGGGUUCGACUCCCGCCUUCGGCACCA